UUAAGCGACUAAGCGUACACGGUGGAUGCCCUGGCAGUCAGAGGCGAUGAAGGACGUGCUAAUCUGCGAUAAGCGUCGGUAAGGUGAUAUGAACCGUUAUAACCGGCGAUUUCCGAAUGGGGAAACCCAGUGUGUUUCGACACACUAUCAUUAACUGAAUCCAUAGGUUAAUGAGGCGAACCGGGGGAACUGAAACAUCUAAGUACCCCGAGGAAAAGAAAUCAACCGAGAUUCCCCCAGUAGCGGCGAGCGAACGGGGAGCAGCCCAGAGCCUGAAUCAGUGUGUGUGUUAGUGGAAGCGUCUGGAAAGGCGCGCGAUACAGGGUGACAGCCCCGUACACAAAAAUGCACAUGCUGUGAGCUCGAUGAGUAGGGCGGGACACGUGGUAUCCUGUCUGAAUAUGGGGGGACCAUCCUCCAAGGCUAAAUACUCCUGACUGACCGAUAGUGAACCAGUACCGUGAGGGAAAGGCGAAAAGAACCCCGGCGAGGGGAGUGAAAAAGAACCUGAAACCGUGUACGUACAAGCAGUGGGAGCACGCUUAGGCGUGUGACUGCGUACCUUUUGUAUAAUGGGUCAGCGACUUAUAUUCUGUAGCAAGGUUAACCGAAUAGGGGAGCCGAAGGGAAACCGAGUCUUAACUGGGCGUUAAGUUGCAGGGUAUAGACCCGAAACCCGGUGAUCUAGCCAUGGGCAGGUUGAAGGUUGGGUAACACUAACUGGAGGACCGAACCGACUAAUGUUGAAAAAUUAGCGGAUGACUUGUGGCUGGGGGUGAAAGGCCAAUCAAACCGGGAGAUAGCUGGUUCUCCCCGAAAGCUAUUUAGGUAGCGCCUCGUGAAUUCAUCUCCGGGGGUAGAGCACUGUUUCGGCAAGGGGGUCAUCCCGACUUACCAACCCGAUGCAAACUGCGAAUACCGGAGAAUGUUAUCACGGGAGACACACGGCGGGUGCUAACGUCCGUCGUGAAGAGGGAAACAACCCAGACCGCCAGCUAAGGUCCCAAAGUCAUGGUUAAGUGGGAAACGAUGUGGGAAGGCCCAGACAGCCAGGAUGUUGGCUUAGAAGCAGCCAUCAUUUAAAGAAAGCGUAAUAGCUCACUGGUCGAGUCGGCCUGCGCGGAAGAUGUAACGGGGCUAAACCAUGCACCGAAGCUGCGGCAGCGACGCUAUGCGUUGUUGGGUAGGGGAGCGUUCUGUAAGCCUGUGAAGGUGUACUGUGAGGUAUGCUGGAGGUAUCAGAAGUGCGAAUGCUGACAUAAGUAACGAUAAAGCGGGUGAAAAGCCCGCUCGCCGGAAGACCAAGGGUUCCUGUCCAACGUUAAUCGGGGCAGGGUGAGUCGACCCCUAAGGCGAGGCCGAAAGGCGUAGUCGAUGGGAAACAGGUUAAUAUUCCUGUACUUGGUGUUACUGCGAAGGGGGGACGGAGAAGGCUAUGUUGGCCGGGCGACGGUUGUCCCGGUUUAAGCGUGUAGGCUGGUUUUCCAGGCAAAUCCGGAAAAUCAAGGCUGAGGCGUGAUGACGAGGCACUACGGUGCUGAAGCAACAAAUGCCCUGCUUCCAGGAAAAGCCUCUAAGCAUCAGGUAACAUCAAAUCGUACCCCAAACCGACACAGGUGGUCAGGUAGAGAAUACCAAGGCGCUUGAGAGAACUCGGGUGAAGGAACUAGGCAAAAUGGUGCCGUAACUUCGGGA
rnacentral:rRNA from 1 species